rnacentral:ncRNA from 2 species
UCCUUAUCAAGAGUGGUGGAGGGACUGACCCGAUGAAACCCGGCAACCGGUUUGUAUGCCUAUACAAACAAAGGUGCUACGUUCAGCAGAAUGAAUUCAUUCUGAAAGAUAAGGG